GUCGAACGCUCACCUUCGGGUGGGAGUGGCAGACGGGUGAGUAACACGUGGGAACGUACCCUUUGGUUCGGGACAACUCUGGGAAACUGGAGCUAAUACCGGAUACGCCCUUUUGGGGAAAGGUUUACUGCCGAAGGAUCGGCCCGCGUCUGAUUAGCUAGUUGGUGGGGUAACGGCCUACCAAGGCGACGAUCAGUAGCUGGUCUGAGAGGAUGAUCAGCCACACUGGGACUGAGACACGGCCCAGACUCCUACGGGAGGCAGCAGUGGGGAAUAUUGGACAAUGGGUGCAAGCCUGAUCCAGCCAUGCCGCGUGAGUGAUGAAGGCCUUAGGGUUGUAAAGCUCUUUUAUCCGGGACGAUAAUGACGGUACCGGAGGAAUAAGCCCCGGCUAACUUCGUGCCAGCAGCCGCGGUAAUACGAAUGGGGCUAGCGUUGCUCGGAAUCACUGGGCGUAAAGGGCGCGUAGGCGGCGUUUUAAGUCGGGGGUGAAAGCCUGUGGCUCAACCACAGAAUGGCCUUCGAUACUGGGACGCUUGAGUCUGGUAGAGGUUGGUGGAACUGCGAGUGUAGAGGUGA
rnacentral:rRNA from 1 species